UGGAGGUCGAAGACUUCAGGGCCUCGUUGUCUCUGACCAGCUCCUCUACACGCUGACGCAACUUUGAAGCCUCCCACUGAGACUCCUCCAACAGGUCUCCUACACACCAAACCAUUAGUAACAACCCUAUUCACAGCAGUAACAACAGGUCUCCUACACACCAAACCAUUAGUAACAACCAUAUUCACAGCAGUAACAACAGGUCUCCUACACACCAAACCAUUAGUAACAACCCUAUUCACAGCAGUAACAACAGGUCUCCUACACACCAAACCAUUAGUAACAACCCUAUUCACAGCAGUAACAACAGGUCUCCUACACACCAAACCAUUAGUAACAACAGGUCUCCUACACACCAAACCAUUAGUAACAACCAUAUUCACAGCAGUAACAACAGGUCUCCUACACACCAAACCAUUAGUAACAACCCUAUUCACAGCAGUAACAACAGGUCUCCUACACACCAAACCAUUAGUAACAACCGUAUUCACAGCAGUAACAGGUCUCCUACACACCAAACCAUUAGUAACAACCCUAUUCACAGCAGUAACAACAGGUCUCCUACACACCAAACCAUUAGUAACAACCCUAUUCACAGCAGUAACAACAGGUCUCCUACACACCAAACCAUUAGUAACAACCCUAUUCACAGCAGUAACAACAGGUCUCCUACACACCAAACCAUUAGUAACAACCGUAUUCACAGCAGUAACAACAGGUCUCCUACACACCAAACCAUUAGUAACAACCGUAUUCACAGCAGUAACAAACUGCUCCUACACACCAAACCAUUAGUAACAACCCUAUUCACAGCAGUAACAACAGGUCUCCUACACACCAAACCAUUAGUAACAACCGUAUUCACAGCAGUAACAACAGGUCUCCUACACACCAAACCAUUAGUAACAACCCUAUUCACAGCAGUAACAACAGGUCUCCUACACACCAAACCAUUAGUAACAACCGUAUUCACAGCAGUAACAAACUGCUCCUACACACCAAACCAUUAGUAACAACCAUAUUCACAGCAGUAACAACAGGUCUCCUACACACCAAACCAUUAGUAACAACCCUAUUCACAGCAGUAACAAACUGCUCCUACACACCAAACCAUUAGUAACAACCAUAUUCACAGCAGUAACAACAGGUCUCCUACACACCAAACCAUUAGUAACAACCGUAUUCACAGCAGUAACAACAGGUCUCCUACACACCAAACCAUUAGUAACAACCCUAUUCACAGCAGUAACAACAGGUCUCCUACACACCAAACCAUUAGUAACAACCGUAUUCACAGCAGUAACAACAGGUCUCCUACACACCAAACCAUUAGUAACAACCCUAUUCACAGCAGUAACAACAGGUCUCCUACACACCAGAGACAGCUAGAAACAGCUUGAUUUGAAGUAGGCCUAGUCACUUGUUCAUUUUGGGUUGUGGCAUAUAGAUGAAUAUGUUAUUCACAGUCUACAGGAGCUAUAAUACGUGAUGGAUAGACAGUAGCUAGUGUUUCUGAUGACUAACAACUAAAUCAUGCCGACCCUGAGAACAUUACUCAUUACAGAGAAACAGCACAUAACCAAAGAAUGGACUACGCCAACACUCACUAGUCACUACAGAGAAACUCCCUGCAAACAUUACAGCACACAGCCAAAGAAUGGAAUCAGGUCUAACCACAUUGUUCCUACAAGGCUAUGAGAAUGGAAUAUGUAGCUGUAAUGUAUAGGUCACAACACUAAUCUAGACAGAUGAGUGUGACGAGGGUUGUGGUUGUGUAGGGUCUCAGGUCUACAGUGGCAUUGGUACAACGUCACAAGUA